AUAUCUACCACUGUAGCUUCUGUCAACCUUAACUUUAAACCUUACAGAAGAAUCAAUAUCUUCUGAUUUGAGAGUUUCCCCCACAUGGUAAAAAUAAAAUGUGAAAUUUCAGUAAAUGGCAUGAAAAAUUUUAGUAGUACCAGGAAGUUUUCAGAAACUAGAGCUUUUACACAAUAUGGAAGUUUUAAUGUUUUGAAGGUUCAGUAAAUUAUGUAGUGUACAAAAGUGAAGUCUAAAUUACCCACUCAGAAGGGUAACCCUAUAGCCCACAUGUCUGGAUCCAUGUAUGCAGAUGGACAGAUACACUUCAUUUCUUCUGGGAAGCUGAGUUCUAAAAAGCUAUCACUCAGAACAGACAGUUUUAUGAUUGCAUAAGAAGAAAAGGAAAGAUGACAGAGUUGCUAUAAAAAUGAAAGGCCUUUUGGUGUAUUAACAGCUGAAAACAUUACAGCUUAAAUGAAGAUGUGAAACAAAAAAUCAGCUUAAAACUGCAAAUUAAAAAAAAGAAAACUUGUGCAGAAGGUUUGAAGCAUAUGGACACCCACCCAGUUUGCAAAGAGGGCAAUGGGAGCCCCAGACUUUAGCUUAUUAAAGAUGACCUUUCCCCUCUCUAAAAUUUCAAAGCUGACGUUUCAAGUGCUGAGCAGACUGUGUGCCAUAUGUAACAUGACCUCAGCUCCACUCUGCCUGAGCACUGAUGGCAUCACUAAUGAGAGGUGAAAGGUCUUUUUCUUGCAGCUUUUUCAGAAACCCACCAACUCUUGCCUGUGAAGUAAGGCCCCUCCCUCCCCCCAACCCUUGAUUUCAAGAGAACUGCAUUUAAUACACAGCCUCAAAACACUUUUAUUACCGGUCGAUUUGCUUAUAGCCACAGCCAAAUGGCAGGAUGUACAAUAACAUGCAGAAGAAAAUAUUUAUUUUGACUCACAAGCCAAAGGGAUUAAGAGAACAUUGUAUUAACCUUGCCUUUCAUCUAUGUUUUAAAGGGAAAUUCUCCAGAGGCGUCCAUUGAAGUUCUGUUUUUUUAAAUAUAAAGUGUAUCAAAGACUUUUAGGAGCCCAGGUGUGUGUUUAUCUGACUAUCUUUCAAAAAGCUGCUUCAGAGACUGCAAAAAGAUGUAUGUUCAGGAAUCUAUUUCAGGCAUUCUUACCAGCCAGCUAGUUACCCGACCCCUACUCCCUUCCCUGGCUUCCCGGCCCCCCACUCCCCCUUGCUGCUUCGAAACAAAAUAGCUUCUUUCCAAGCAGGUUGUUAUCAUAUUCAUGGCAUGGUCAAUUUCCGUUUGCCAAGAAAAUAUUUAGGCUGAUCAAAGACAUUAGAAAAUCGGAUGAAUAGAAACAGACGUUCCCACAAGAGAAGCGUUUCUCAACGUGAAGAGGCAGGCGGAUUGCAGCCCACCCAGUUACUCCUAGGAAAUAGCUCUCCUGCUAAAGGCAGAACUAUGGGGCCACCUGGAUUCUACCGGAAGGGCUAUGGAAGAGUCCGGAAAUUCACGUGGAGACUGGAGCUUGGGACUCUCCGAUGGCGGACAUGUGAGAUGAUCGGUUCUAGUAUCUAUCAGCAAACCUAGAAGGCCUUUAAUUACAUCCAUUAACACAGAGGGACCUUUCAAGACUGAAGAUACAGUGUGCGCCCAGGUCAGUCGAUGAAAGAAAGAGGGCCUUCCACCUCCUCCUUGUUCCUCGGCAAGACGCAGCCAAACCAGAACAGCAAGUGGAUGGGAAAGAACCUUGACAACACAAAACUCAUUUACUAAUGGACUGGUUUUGGAUUUCUCUCUUUCGGGUCCGCAUAUCGCCCCGCCUGAGCCCUCGGCCUAUCCAGAGCUCGCGGGGAGCAGCGUCCCCCAGGAGGCAGGUGGGAGGCUGCUCCGGCGCCGCGCCGCCCUCGGAGCCCGGCAUCCGGAGGGGUCGAGGGCACCUGGAGUUUCCGACCAAGUAAAGGAAAAAGAUGAACGUUGACACUUCAGCCAGGAUUUGGGAUCCUCACUGCCCCAGAGCGACGACGCUAAUUUAUUGAUGAAACACCUUCCAAAGCCCUUCCCUCCUAAAUAUCUGUAGGUAGAGUAGAAUCCUCGCUGUCGUUCUUGAUGGCAAAAGAAUUCCAAGAAAGCGGGCCAGGAGCCUCCAAGCAGCUCGCUCCAAGCCAGAAGGGAAAUAAGUGGGUCUCAGCCAGAGGACACAAGGCCUUGUUUUAACCCGACCUAGAAACUCUAACACCACCUGAUGCCUCCGCAUCAACCUUUCCACAGACCAGUUGUGUGCAUCCGGCGGUUACCUGCACGGCGGAGGCACAAAAGACCAGAAACCUGGCGCUGGUAGCCCCUUUCUAGCUGUGUUACCCUGGGGACCCACGAAGCGGCGAGGGCAGCAGCGGUGCUGCUCCUUGCCUUUAAAUCUCCGACAAAUCUCUGUUUUCUUGUGAUUUGCAUUGACAGCAAAAGGUUUUAAGUUACUAGAACAACUCAAACCUUUCUGUGUGCGAUUUAAAAUGGAUCAUUUGGUUUAUGUGGUUUGUAAAUUCAUGUCAUUUUACCUCUUUUAGUGGUUUGCAGUGAAAGGUUCCAUUUUGGGAAACCUUAUAUAUCCGAGCCAAUAAUUAACAUUUAUAAAAAUUGGUUUCCCUAACCGAGGGAUCGAAAUAGCAGGUAGGCUCGUUGGUACAAAGCGAAUAGCACAUUUCCUUUCUAAUCGUGCGAUCUACUGGACUGAACACUAGGAGAGAAAGGCUGGCGGGCCAGGGCACGGCCUCCAAGGACGAGCACCACUUCUUAUCAACCCCGGUGCCCGCAGUCGCCGCAUCCGC
ensembl:lncRNA